UACGAAGGGGGCUAGCGUUGUUCGGAAUCACUGGGCGUAAAGGGCGCGUAGGCGGCUUUGUAAGUCAGGGGUGAAAUCCUGGAGCUCAACUCCAGAACUGCCUUUGAUACUGAGGAUCUUGAGUACGGGAGAGGUGAGUGGAACUGCGAGUGUAGAGGUGAAAUUCGUAGAUAUUCGCAAGAACACCAGUGGCGAAGGCGGCUCACUGGCCCGUUACUGACGCUGAGGCACGGAAGCGUGGGGAGCAAACAGG
rnacentral:rRNA from 1 species